rnacentral:rRNA from 1 species
CGCGCCUAACACAUGCAAGUCGAACGGAGAUCAUUUGGUAGAAGUUUUCGGAUGGACACUGAGUGAUCUUAGUGGCGAACGGGUGAGUAACGCGUGAGCAAUCUGCCUCAGAGUGGGGGACAACAGUUGGAAACGACUGCUAAUACCGCAUAAGCCCACAGCACCGCAUGGUGCAGGGGAAAAGAUUUAUUGCUUUGAGAUGAGCUCGCGUCCAAUUAGCUAGUUGGUGAGGUAACGGCCCACCAAGGCGACGAUUGGGAGCCGGACUGAGAGGUUGAACGGCCACAUUGGGACUGAGAUACGGCCCAGACUCCUACGGGAGGCAGCAGUGGGGAAUAUUGCACAAUGGGGGGAACCCUGAUGCAGCGACGCCGCGUGGAGGAAGAAGGUCUUCGGAUUGUAAACUCCUGUUGUUAGGGACGAUAAUGACGGUACCUAACAAGGAAGCACCGGCUAACUACGUGCCAGCCGCCGCCGUAA